GCGGGGCGGGGGCCUAUAAUGCAGUCGAGCGAACUGAUUAGAAGCUUGCUUCUAUGACGUUAGCGGCGGACGGGUGAGUAACACGUGGGCAACCUGCCUGUAAGACUGGGAUAACUUCGGGAAACCGAAGCUAAUACCGGAUAGGAUCUUCUCCUUCAUGGGAGAUGAUUGAAAGAUGGUUUCGGCUAUCACUUACAGAUGGGCCCGCGGUGCAUUAGCUAGUUGGUGAGGUAACGGCUCACCAAGGCAACGAUGCAUAGCCGACCUGAGAGGGUGAUCGGCCACACUGGGACUGAGACACGGCCCAGACUCCUACGGGAGGCAGCAGUAGGGAAUCUUCCGCAAUGGACGAAAGUCUGACGGAGCAACGCCGCGUGAGUGAUGAAGGCUUUCGGGUCGUAAAACUCUGUUGUUAGGGAAGAACAAGUACAAGAGUAACUGCUUGUACCUUGACGGUACCUAACCAGAAAGCCACGGCUAACUACGUGCCAGCAGCCGCGGUAAUACGUAGGUGGCAAGCGUUAUCCGGAAUUAUUGGGCGUAAAGCGCGCGCAGGCGGUUUCUUAAGUCUGAUGUGAAAGCCCACGGCUCAACCGUGGAGGGUCAUUGGAAACUGGGGAACUUGAGUGCAGAAGAGAAAAGCGGAAUUCCACGUGUAGCGGUGAAAUGCGUAGAGAUGUGGAGGAACACCAGUGGCGAAGGCGGCUUUUUGGUCUGUAACUGACGCUGAGGCGCGAAAGCGUGGGGAGCAAACAGGAUUAGAUACCCUGGUAGUCCACGCCGUAACGAUGAGUGCUAAGUGUUAGAGGGUUUCCGCCCUUUAGUGCUGCAGCUAACGCAUUAAGCACUCCGCCUGGGGAGUACGGUCGCAAGACUGAAACUCAAGGAAUUUGACAGGGGCCCGCACAAGCGGUGGAGCAUGUGGGUUUAAUUCGAAGCAACGCGAGAACCUUACCAGGUCUUGACAUCCUCUGACACUCUAGAGAUAGAGCGUUCCCCUUCGGGGACAGAGUGACAGUGUGCAUGAUGUCGUCAGCUCGUGUCGUGAGAUGUUGGGGUAGUCCCGCACGAGCGCAUCGUGAUCUAGUGGCAGCAAUUAGUGGGAAUCUAGUGACUGCAGUGACACGAGCAGGUGGGAUGACGUCAUCUCAUGCUUAGACUGGUCUACACGUGCUACAUUGCAAUGUUACAAAUGG
rnacentral:rRNA from 2 species